GGUCGGGUCCUGUGCAACGGGUUCCCGUGAAUCAGGUCAGGACCGGAAGGUAGCAGCCUUCAGCGGAUUCGCUCGUGUGCCGCAGAUCGCCUGGCCGUC
rnacentral:SRP_RNA from 1 species